CUGAUACAGACAGAAAACAUUCAUUCGGACCUGUACAUUGAUCUCAUGAUCUGAAGGUUCCAAAAUCUAACACUAGUACUCGAUGACGACUAGACCCUGCACCAUUUUUAUCUUCACCAGCCUGUUGAAUGCAUGGAAACUGAGCAAAGGAGCAGUGGAAACUCUUACGUGUUCAUCCUCAAGUUCUAUCCAAAUUGGUUCAACCACCACAACCUUUCAAUUUGGAGAUGGCAAGACACCCUAUAAUACACUGCUGUCAUGUACAUGGACUUUCACAGCAGCUGAUCCAUCUGCAAGCCUUGUCAUUGGACAACGAUUAAAAUGUGGGAAUGGCGACGAACUAUCAUUAUGGGACGGUACUUUUGAUAAACAUACAUAUUUUUCGUCUUUAUAAAAGAUAUUGAUUUGUUAAAUUGAAGCAAUUAUGAUUGAAGGUAUUAAAUUGUCUGAUCCAAAGAUUUUCACAAAUUAAUUUCAUCAUUUUCAAUUUUAAAAAUA